rnacentral:rRNA from 1 species
GAUGAACGCUGGCGGCGCGCCUAAUACAUGCAAGUCGAGCGAACGGACGAGAAGCUUGCUUUUCUGAUGUUAGCGGCGGACGGGUGAGUAACACGUGGAUAACCUACCUAUAAGACUGGGAUAACUUCGGGAAACCGGAGCUAAUACCGGAUAAUAUUUUGAACCGCAUGGUUCAAAAGUGAAGGACGGUCUUGCUGUCACUUAUAGAUGGAUCCGCGCUGCAUUAGCUAGUUGGUAAGGUAACGGCUUACCAAGGCAACGAUGCAUAGCCGACCUGAGAGGGUGAUCGGCCACACUGGAACUGAGACACGGUCCAGACUCCUACGGGAGGCAGCAGUAGGGAAUCUUCCGCAAUGGGCGAAAGCCUGACGGAGCAACGCCGCGUGAGUGAUGAAGGUCUUCGGAUCGUAAAACUCUGUUAUUAGGGAAGAACAUAUGUGUAAGUAACUGUGCACAUCUUGACGGUACCUAAUCAGAAAGCCACGGCUAACUACGUGCCAGCAGCCGCGGUAAUACGUAGGUGGCAAGCGUUAUCCGGAAUUAUUGGGCGUAAAGCGCGCGUAGGCGGUUUUUUAAGUCUGAUGUGAAAGCCCACGGCUCAACCGUGGAGGGUCAUUGGAAACUGGAAAACUUGAGUGCAGAAGAGGAAAGUGGAAUUCCAUGUGUAGCGGUGAAAUGCGCAGAGAUAUGGAGGAACACCAGUGGCGAAGGCGACUUUCUGGUCUGUAACUGACGCUGAUGUGCGAAAGCGUGGGGAUCAAACAGGAUUAGAUACCCUGGUAGUCCACGCCGUAAACGAUGAGUGCUAAGUGUUAGGGGGUUUCCGCCCCUUAGUGCUGCAGCUAACGCAUUAAGCACUCCGCCUGGGGAGUACGACCGCAAGGUUGAAACUCAAAGGAAUUGACGGGGACCCGCACAAGCGGUGGAGCAUGUGGUUUAAUUCGAAGCAACGCGAAGAACCUUACCAAAUCUUGACAUCCUUUGACAACUCUAGAGAUAGAGCCUUCCCCUUCGGGGGACAAAGUGACAGGUGGUGCAUGGUUGUCGUCAGCUCGUGUCGUGAGAUGUUGGGUUAAGUCCCGCAACGAGCGCAACCCUUAAGCUUAGUUGCCAUCAUUAAGUUGGGCACUCUAAGUUGACUGCCGGUGACAAACCGGAGGAAGGUGGGGAUGACGUCAAAUCAUCAUGCCCCUUAUGAUUUGGGCUACACACGUGCUACAAUGGACAAUACAAAGGGCAGCGAAACCGCGAGGUCAAGCAAAUCCCAUAAAGUUGUUCUCAGUUCGGAUUGUAGUCUGCAACUCGACUACAUGAAGCUGGAAUCGCUAGUAAUCGUAGAUCAGCAUGCUACGGUGAAUACGUUCCCGGGUCU